GCCUUCGUAGUGUAGUUGUCAACAUGCGCAACUCGUAACCGAGAGGUCCGUGGUUCAAUUCCCGGCGAAGGCG
rnacentral:tRNA from 1 species